rnacentral:rRNA from 1 species
UAAUACGAAGGGGGCUAGCGUUGCUCGGAAUCACUGGGCGUAAAGGGCGCGUAGGCGGACUUUUAAGUCGGAGGUGAAAGCCCAGGGCUCAACCCUGGAAUUGCCUUCGAUACUGGGAGUCUUGAGUUCGGAAGAGGUUGGUGGAACUGCGAGUGUAGAGGUGAAAUUCGUAGAUAUUCGCAAGAACACCAGUGGCGAAGGCGGCCAACUGGUCCGAUACUGACGCUGAGGCGCGAAAGCGUGGGGAGCAAACAG